AUGUGUGGAGGCCAGAAGCAACUUUUCAAAGCUCUGGAGCAGUGUAGCCCUGACAGACACAGAGGCUUCUCCUGUCACAUCCUCCAGCAGCUGCAGUGGCUCGUUAGGGAAGUGAAUACAGCCAGCAAGAGACUUGAGAUAGUAGAUGACUUCAGGAAGCGUGCUGAAGACAAAGAUAUCCAAGCAAUUGUCUCUGAGAUCCUUCCCGUCCCAUGAGCAAAGGAAGACAGAGGGCAGAAGAUUCUGGAAGUGAACUGCUGGCUAGGAACAAUGAAGAGCUUGGGAGAUAUGAUUGGGUGCAACAUUGGAUAUGCUUAUGUAACCCACACACCUCCUGGGUGUGGUGUUCUGUCCCAACUAGUGGCACCGAGACCACUUAGCCCUGGUCUACACUACAAGUUUAGGUCGAAUUUAGCAGCGUUAGAUCGAUCUAACCCUGCACCCAUCCACACAACGAACCAUUUUUGUCGACUUAAAGGAACCAAUACCCUCCCAACCCUCCCAAGGUGGGCUCCCGGACCUUGAAGGUGGAGAAGGCACCUCUGCUGCAAAUGUUUCAGCGCUCCCCCAAUCAUCUCCAUCCCAGAGGCUAGCGCAAAUAAGAAGGUGAAAAAAAUGCACUCGCAAUGAAAUGUUCUCUGAGCUCAUGCAGACUUCCCGCACUGAAAAAGCUCAGCAGAAUGUGUGGAGGCAGACAAUUGCAGCAUUCAGGAAAGGAGAAAAUGAACACGAGGAAAGGUGGCAGGAGCAAGAUGAUAGGUGGCAGCAGCUUGAUGAGAGGAGGCAGGAGGCAAUGCUGAGGCUACUGGAGGAUCAAACUGAUAUGCUCCGGCGUAUGGUUGAGCUGCAGGAAAGAGCACAUACCGCUGCUGCAGCCACUGUGUAACCGCCCACCCUCCUCCCCAAGUUCCAUAGCCUCCUCACCCAGACGCCCAAGAACGCGGGGGGGGUGUCUCCGGGUACCCAACCACUCCACCCCAGAGGACUUCCCAAGCAACAGAAGGCUGGCAUUCAAUAAGUUUUGAAGUGCAGUGUGGCCCUGUCCUUCCCUCCUCCCCUCCUCCCCCACCUCACCUGGUGCUUCUCUCCUCCCCCACCCCUCCUGGGCUAGCUUGGCAGUUAUCCCCCUAUUUGUGUGACGAAUUA